AACUUUCUUUUUCCUUAUCUUGAAAAUAAGUAUCAGAGAUCCUCUAGAAAGUUU
rnacentral:tRNA from 1 species